ACUUUAAUUGAAGAGUUUGAUCAUGGCUCAGAUUGAACGCUGGCGGCAGGCUUAACACAUGCAAGUCGAGCGGAAACGACAAUAUUGACCCUUCGGGUGAUUUAUUGGGCGUCGAGCGGCGG
rnacentral:rRNA from 1 species